UUUGGGGAAAACACAGGGGUCUGCACCUCCGGGGUGCAAUGGUGAACUUCACCCUGGGAAAACUACCUUUGUGAUCAUGGUAUCUCCUCUGCCAGGUAAGUAUGAGCAUAAACUUUCUGUACUCUUCCCAUUUUCCCUUUUCUUUACACGUUUCCUUGUUUAAAGUUUUACAAUUUAUUGUGAUUGUAAAAAUAAACAUGUUUAUGGUAGAAAUUUUAGAAUAUACAGGAAAGUAGAAAGAAGAAAGUCAAAAGCACCUGUAAUACAUUCACUCAUUCAGCAGACACUUAGAGCAGCCCCCAGGUCCUGGGAAUAGAAGGGUGGACGAGAGGGUCACCCAGAUUCUCCUCGUUAUAAUAAUAGCAAUAGCUACCCCUCUGGGUCCUUGUAUGUGCCAGGUUUUUACUAUGUGUUAAACAAUUUUCAUUUAUUAUCUCCCUUGAUCUGUACAAAACCCAUAAGAGGGAGGAUUCAUAUUAAAAUCUCUAUUUUACAGAUGAGAAAACUGAGGCUUAGAACAGUGAAGGAGGUCACUGAAAGUCACACUGUGAGUUCAACUGCAAAGCUGUAAAUGGAAAACCCCCUAAGGCCCUGCUCUUAGCUCCUCCUGGUUCCCUGUUGCAAAGAGGCAUUCCCCAGGCAGCUGUGAGGUGGAAAUCUCUGUCUUCAGCCUUGUGGCUGAGAAGUUUCCCAGAGAACAGAAGCUGGAGCCUUUGGAGACCCCACUCGGCUGAGGCCCCGGGACCACUAGGGGGCAGCAGAAGUCUGCUGCGCUGGCAGGAGGCUCUGUCCCCGGCUGACUGCAGGCUCCGGGCAGCUGUCCUGAGUUAAAACCUGAACCUCUGGUGGCCGAGAAUAGCAAGGGGCUGUCAUUCACGUGGGCAUCUUCCUUCCCAGGGUUUCGAAAGUCCCUCACGUCAUCCUUGUCGUUUCAUAAUCCUGCUCACGGAGCACUUUUUCCGUCUUCCUCAAACAGGUCCUAUCUUGGCCCGGGAGAAUGGGUUCAGGGACACAGGCUUCCUGCGGGCAGUGUGUUAGAUGCUGGGCUGGUCACUGGGGCCACGGGGAUUAAAAAAAAAAUCCUCUAGAAAACCCAGGACUUUCCCCCCAGGGAGACUGGCACCUAAAUAAGCAACCGAAGUACACGGUGCAAAGUGCAAUAAUAGACGGACAUCCGAGAUUCGGAGGCAGCACCAAGUGGGAGAAAGUGGGGCGGCAUUAGAAGCCGGGGAUUUGGCUUAGAGGUGGCCCAAGGUGUGCAGCUGUCUGCAAAUGCCAUCCUUCAUGUGAGGUGAGGCACAGGGAGAGGCUGAGAAGUCCGGUCUAGAGGGAUGUUGGGUAAAUGGUCCCAGGUUGAAAAAUAUUAGAUGCUGAAGUAAUGUCAAAUGUUCUCGAAACUGUGAGGUUUGCCUCUGAGUCCCAGGCAGGGUGUGGGCUGGGAUAGCUGAGGCAGGUCCAACCUGGGCUCAGGAAGACGGUGAGAG
rnacentral:lncRNA from 1 species